CUUACCUCAGAAACUUCCUAGCUGUGUGACCUUAGGGUUGUAAAACUAUGUGUUAGAGGAAGCAUUACUGAACCCAGGUAGAUCAAAAGUUGAGAACUGAGGCCCUGCCAUCAUAUUUCUCUAUCAUCCCUGGCAUAGAAUCUUUUCCUUAUGGAGGCAGUGGCAUGGCAAAUGACGGUAAGAAAUAAAUCCAACCAGGAAAAGGAAGAUCAAAAAAGUCAUCAGAGGCUCAGAAACCAUGCUUGCUAUCAACCAACCCCGUGGAGGACAGAGCUCUGAGGAGCAACCUGUUUGACCCAGCCCAACAGUGGAACAAUUCGGCAGCCAAGAGAUGCUGUAUCGUAUGAGCAAGGGAGCGACUUGUCUAUUGGUAGUGCCGUAUCUGGAAAGGAAC